UACGUAGGGCGCAAGCGUUGUCCGGAAUUAUUGGGCGUAAAGAGCUCGUAGGCGGCUUGUCACGUCGGGUGUGAAAGCCCGGGGCUUAACCCCGGGUCUGCAUUCGAUACGGGCAGGCUAGAGUUCGGCAGGGGAGACUGGAAUUCCUGGUGUAGCGGUGAAAUGCGCAGAUAUCAGGAGGAACACCGAUGGCGAAGGCAGGUCUCUGGGCAUUAACUGACGCUGAGGAGCGAAAGCAUGGGGAGCGAACAGG
rnacentral:rRNA from 1 species